rnacentral:rRNA from 1 species
GUCUUUUUGAUUAUAAUUUAAAGUCUAACCUGCCCACUGAAUAUUUUGAAGGGCCGCGGUAUUUUGACUGUGCAAAGGUAGCAUAAUCAUUAGUCUUUUAAUUGGAGGCUUGUAUGAAUGGUUGGAUGAGGUAUUAACUGUCUCAAUUUAAUAAAUAAUAGAAUUUUAUUUUUAAGUUAAAAAGCUUAAAUUUUAUUAAAAGACGAGAAGACCCUAUAGAUCUUUAUAAUUAAUUUUAUAAUAAUUUUUUAGAUUAAAUUUAUUUUUAUAAGAUAAAUUAUUAUAUUGGGGUGAUAAAAAAAUUUAUAAAACUUUUUUUAUAUUAAAACAAUGAUAUUUGAUUAAUUGAUCCAUUUUUUGUGAUUAUAAGAUUAAGUUACCUUAGGGAUAACAGCGUAAUUUUUUUGGAGAGUUCAUAUCGAUAAAAAAGAUUGCGACCUCGAUGUUGAAUUAAAGGUUAAUUUUAGGUGUAGAAGUUUAAAAUUUUGGUCUGUUCGACCAUUAAAUC